GAUGAACGCUGGCGGCGUGCCUAAUACAUGCAAGUCGAGCGAACGGACGAGAAGCUUGCUUCUCUGAUGUUAGCGGCGGACGGGUGAGUAACACGUGGAUAACCUACCUAUAAGACUGGGAUAACUUCGGGAAACCGUAGCUAAUACCGGAUAAUAUUUUGAACCGCAUGGUUCAAAAGUGAAGGACGGUCUUGCUGUCACUUAUAGAUGGAUCCGCGCUGCAUUUGCUAGUUGGUAAGGUAACGGCUUACCAAGGCAACGAUGCAUAGCCGACCUGAGAGGGUGAUCGGCCACACUGGAACUGAGACACGGUCCAGACUCCUACGGGAGGCAGCAGUAGGGAAUCUUCCGCAAUGGGCGAAAGCCUGACGGAGCAACGCCGCGUGAGUGAUGAAGGUCUUCGGAUCGUAAAACUCUGUUAUUAGGGAAGAACAUAUGUGUAAGUAACUGUGCACAUCUUGACGGUACCUAAUCAGAAAGCCACGGCUAACUACGUG
rnacentral:rRNA from 1 species